CAGACCUCUAAUCGGAAAAGACUACCCGCUGAGUUUAAGCAUAUCACUAAGCGG
rnacentral:rRNA from 2 species